rnacentral:rRNA from 1 species
GACGAACGCUGGCGGCGUGCUUAACACAUGCAAGUCGAACGGAAAGGCCCUGCUUGUGUGGUGUGCUCGAUUGGCGAACGGGUGAGUAACACGUGAGUAACCUGCUCUUCACUUUGGUAUAACAUCAGGUAACUGGGGCUAAUACCGUAUAGCAGCUCCCGCUGCAUGGAGGGGAGUGGAAAGUUUCGGCGGUUGGGGAUGGACGCGCGGCUUAUGAGCUUGUUGGUUGGGGAGUGGCUUACCCAGGCUUUGACGGAUAGCCGGCCUGGGAGAGUGACCGGCCACAAUGGGCCUGAGAUACGGCCCAGAGUCCUACAGGAGGCAGUAGUGGGGAACAUUGCACAGUGAGCGGAAGCCGGAUGCAAAGACGCCGCGUGCGGGAAGACGGCCUUCGGGGUGAAAACCGCUUUCGCCUGUGACGAAGCGUGAGUGACGGUACUGGGUAAAGAAGCACCGGCUAACUACGUG